rnacentral:rRNA from 1 species
AACGAACGCUGGCGGCAGGCUUAACACAUGCAAGUCGAACGCCCCACAAGGGGAGUGGCAGACGGGUGAGUAACGCGUGGGAAUCUACCUAGUUCUACGGAACAACAGAGGGAAACUUCUGCUAAUACCGUAUACGCCCUAUGGGGGAAAGAUUUAUCGGAAUUAGAUGAGCCCGCGUAAGAUUAGCUAGUUGGUGAGGUAAUGGCUCACCAAGGCGACGAUCUUUAGCUGGUCUGAGAGGAUGAUCAGCCACAUUGGGACUGAGACACGGCCCAGACUCCUACGGGAGGCAGCAGUGGGGAAUAUUGGACAAUGGGCGCAAGCCUGAUCCAGCCAUGCCGCGUGAGUGAUGAAGGCCUUAGGGUUGUAAAGCUCUUUCAGUGGGGAAGAUAAUGACGGUACCCACGGAAGAAGCCCCGGCUAACUUCGUGCCAGCCGCCGCCGUAAAAC